rnacentral:rRNA from 1 species
AGAAUCAACGCUGGCGGCGUGCCUAACACAUGCAAGUCGAACGAGAAAGUGGAGCAAUCCAUGAGUAAAGUGGCGCACGGGUGAGUAACACGUGACUAACCUACCCUUGAGUGGGGGAUAACCUAGGGAAACCUGGGCUAAUACCGCAUAAUACCUUCGGGUCAAAGGAGCAAUUCGCUUAAGGAGGGGGUCGCGGCCGAUUAGUUAGUUGGCGGGGUAAUGGCCCACCAAGACUGUGAUCGGUAUCCGGCCUGAGAGGGCGCACGGACACACUGGAACUGAAACACGGUCCAGACUCCUACGGGAGGCAGCAGUGGGGAAUUUUGCGCAAUGGGGGAAACCCUGACGCAGCAACGCCGCGUGGAGGAUGAAGUCCCUUGGGACGUAAACUCCUUUCGAUCGGGACGAUUAUGACGGUACCGGAAGAAGAAGCCCCGGCUAACUUCGUGCUAGCAGCCGC